UAAUCCCAUCUGGAAUGAUUGAUUGAUCCAUUGAUGUGAAUCCUGAUGACAGAGAUCCAUGUUCCUGUUGGAGUCAGUGGUUGCAUUUCCAUAGAAACACUUUGCAUCAGCAGCUCCAUGCUCCAGUGCUCUGGGAGACUUUAUAGUCCUGAGUGUUGAAGACUGGAUGACUGACAGCUGUCCUUCAUCACAGCAGAAGACACAGAAAUCCUCCUCCUCCUCCUCAGUCAAACCAUGACUUUGAUCUGCGUCCUCAUCUGGACUCUCCUCUGCUUCAUUCAGGGUUCUGUUGGACAAAAUGUUGUUUUGACUCAGCCAGCAGCUAAAUCAGUGCAGCUCAAUCAAAAGGUCACUAUUGACUGUAAGGCCAGUCGACAAGUAGCUCACUAUUCAGGUUCACAAUAUUAUCUUUCCUGGUACCAUCAGAAAUCUGGAGAAGCUCCUAAAGCUCUGAUCUCCAGAACAUCAGACAGAUUUUCAGGAAUCUCCUCCAGAUUCAGUGGAAGUGGAUCAGGAAAUGGAAUUGACUUCACUCUGACCAUCAGUGGAGUCCAGGCUGAAGAUUCAGGAGUUUAUUACUGUCAGAGUUAUCAUAGCGGUGAUGUGUUCACACAGUGA